UUCCCGUCUGGAAACCCGGAGGUACUGCUGUUCGUGCUCAGACUGCCGCCGCUGCCGCUGCCGCUGUAACCGGAUGAGUGGACCACUGUGAGAGGGAGGCUCUGGGGACAAAAGAAGACUAAGACAAAACCUCUGCCUACAACAGAGUGUCUACAGCACCAAGAGACACAGAAGAGAAGACUGAGACAGACAGAGGAGAAGGCACUGUGAAGACAGAAGUAGAGACUGGAGUGAUGAAUCUACGAGCCAAGGAAUAUCAAGGACUGCUGGCAACUACAAACUGGGAAAGAAGGAUGGAACGGAUUCUCCCUCAGAGGACCCAGAAAAAAAAUCUACUCUCCCAACACCCUGAAUUUGGAGUUCUAGCCUCUGGAACUGUCAGAGAAAUAAAUUUCUGUUGU